rnacentral:rRNA from 1 species
CCCUACGGGGAAGGGGGCCUGCAGAGCACCAUGGAAAAGAUCAAAGCCGGGCUCUGAGCCUGUGAGUGUGCUCCGUUGAAGCAGGGAACAUCACGUUUCAGAACCCGUAAUCUCCCGUGGUGAUUUCCACUAGGUGACUGUUUUCAAAGCGCAAGAUCCGUACAAAUCGGGUGGGGCCCGAGUUAUACACCCAUUCUUCAAUGAGGACAUAGACGACCGCGCCAAAGGGGAUGCGUGUUUGAAUGGAGCUGUCCCAGUCCCCGUAGGGAGCACCGUAGACGCGUUCCAAACGUUUCUCUUCCCAGGCGUCUCUGAAAUUGGCGGGAGGGC